CCCCGCCUCCCUCCCGCGGCUGCACCUGCCGGGGGACGAGCGGCCCCGGAGCCGGGCAAAGAGGUUUUACCUGCACGUGUUUGAAGCAACAUUGCGGGUGACCGAGGGAGCGGAGGUUGCGCUGCUCGUACCAGACUCUGGAAACGUUUCUUCCAGAGCUUCGUGCUUCCUCCGUAAGGUGCCUGUGUGUCGGAGAGCGCUGGGUUAGGGACCACGCAGCGCUCCCUCCCCCGCGUACGGAGGGAUGCGGGCACGGCCGGGCUGCUUCCAAAAUUCACCCUCGUGCGGGGGAAGGAGCGGCGGUAGAGGGGUCGGGGUCUCCCUCCGCACCGGGCAGAGCCGCUUACACGGGUACAAAAUGCCACCGCCGCUGAGAGGAAAACUCAUUCGCGUUUAACACGUACUUUGCACUUCGUGCGCAGAUGGGAAGCGCUGACCAGUCACGGUUUGGAUAGAGGAGCUGAAGGCUGAAGCAGAACUUCCCAGUGCCUGGGUGCAUGCAGCCUGCCUUUCAGCUUCCAUCUGCCUGGGUGACACCUAAAUGUGUCUGCAGACCUGCAUUCAAUUCUUCUGAUUCCAAGCGUCUUCCUUUGGCCACUUUUGGUGCAGAUCAGCCAGCGUCCCAUUUAUGUUUUGAAAAACAACCCCAACUCCUUCACUUUAGGCCUAAAUAAAGUACACUUCGAAUGCCAGCUCCACGUGC
rnacentral:lncRNA from 1 species